rnacentral:miRNA from 1 species
UACACAGAAGUUGCGUGUCUGGAUAGCACAUGCCUUUCUUUCCAGCACUCAGGAGGCUGAGGCAGGAGGAU